UACAGAGGUCUCAAGCGUUGUUCGGAUUCAUUGGGCGUAAAGGGUGCGUAGGCGGCGCGGUAAGUCGGCUGUGAAAUCUCGGAGCUUAACUCCGAAACUGCAUUCGAUACUGCCGUGCUUGAGGACUGGAGAGGAGACUGGAAUUUACGGUGUAGCGGUGAAAUGCGUAGAUAUCGAGAGGAACACCUGCGGCGAAGGCGGGUAGCUGGGCCGACACUGACGCUGAGGCGCGAAAGCCAGGGGAGCGAACGGG
rnacentral:rRNA from 1 species